CAGAGACCCCGAGCAUUAUCCGGAUUUAUUGGGCGUAAAGAGUUCGUAGGUGGUUUCGUAAGUCAUUUGUUAAAUCUUCAGGCUCAACCUGGAGGCUGCAGGUGAUACUGCGAGGCUAGAGUAUGGGAGAGGUAAGCGGAAUGCCCGGUGUAGCGGUAAAGUGCGUUAAUAUCGGGUAGAACACCAAAGGCGAAAGCAGCUUACUGGAACAUUACUGACACUCAAGAACGAAAGCGUGGGUAGCGAAAGGGAUUAGAUACCCCUGUAGUCCACGCCGUAAACGAUGGCCACUAGAUUUUGGGAGUAUCGACCCUCCCAGAGUCGUUGAAACAAGCUAACGCGUUAAGUGGCCCGCCUGGGAAGUACGAUCGCAAGAUUA
rnacentral:rRNA from 1 species